AAUCUCAACCCUCCCAGGUUUUUGACCUGGCUGGGCUUGGACAUGGGCGUCUGCCAGCAAUGGCUCGCCUUAAAUGACUUAGUGGAACAUCCCACAUCAGUGUUAGACGUAAUAAGUUUCGUCUCUCCUUGUGGUGAUGACUGCUCAUAAUCUGCCAUCGUGCACUUUUGA
rnacentral:misc_RNA from 1 species